UGGGGAAUAUUGCGCAAUGGGCGAAAGCCUGACGCAGCGACGCCGCGUGGGGGAUGACGGCCUUCGGGUUGUAAACCUCUUUCAGCAGGGACGAAGCGAAAGUGACGGUACCUGCAGAAGAAGCACCGGCCAACUACGUGCCAGCAGCCGCGGUAAUACGUAGGGUGCAAGCGUUGUCCGGAAUUAUUGGGCGUAAAGAGCUCGUAGGCGGUCUGUCACGUCGGCUGUGAAAUCCCGAGGCUCAACCUCGGGUCUGCAGUCGAUACGGGCAAACUAGAGUAUUGCAGGGGAGACUGGAAUUCCUGGUGUAGCGGUGAAAUGCGCAGAUAUCAGGAGGAACACCGGUGGCGAAGGCGGGUCUCUGGGCAAUAACUGACGCUGAGGAGCGAAAGCGUGGGGAGCGAACA
rnacentral:rRNA from 1 species